GUCCUUUAAAGACGCGGAGAUUUUCAUUGGCAGAACAUUAAAAGUGAGAGAUGUUGGUUUCAGGUCUUAAGAGCAAGGCCAUUUUUCAUCUCUGUGUCAUACUGUGACUCUGCAGCUCAGAAACAGCAGCACCACCCAAACGUCCACUCCCUUGUGGAUCACUGUCUGCCUUCCAGAGAAUUCCAUCCCAGGACGGGACCCGUGUGAUGGCGAGCCACCGAGAAAGGCAGGCGGGGGAACUGCCCUUUAGUGGGAAGCUAACAUUUCUUUUUUUUUUUACCUUAAGGCUUACUAGCCCUUAAACGGGCUUAUGCCAUUCUGCGAAUGACUAAGCAGAGCCCAGAGGGAAGCGGCAGCUUGCUUUGAUGGAGAAACAUAUUCAAGACGUAAUUUGUGAACAUCUGCUCUGUGCCAGGCACUGGGCUGAGUGCUGAGGAUUCCAUGGUGAGGGAGCUGUCGCCUAUAAACCUUUGCCCGCUGACCACAGCUCCAUCCCGAAAAAUCCUUGGUGAUGAGUACAGACACCUAGCAUCUUUAUGUUCUAGAGUUGUUACGCUUUAUUUCCUGAGUUGUUUGGGGGUCAUUGUGGACAGCCUACAAUGUAGUCACUAGGUUCAAAACAAUGUAGCUAAGCCACAUCUCCUUCCUCUCUUGCCUUGGUGUCCUCAGCACAGAGUAACUGUUCAAUAAAUGAGAGCCAUUGUUAACACAGUAAUAAAUACUAAUGUUAUUUUUACUGCUA